rnacentral:rRNA from 1 species
GGCAAGCGUUAUCCGGAGUUACUGGGCGUAAAGAGCGUGUAGGCGGGUAUGCAAGUUUGGCGUGAAAGCUCCCGGCUAAACUGGGAGACUGCGUUGAAGACUGCGUAUCUAGAGGCAAGUAGAGGGACGUGGAAUUCCGGGUGUAGUGGUGAAAUGCGUAGAGAUCCGGAGGAACACCAGUGGCGAAGGCGACGUCCUGGGCUUGACCUGACGCUGAGACGCGACAGCACGGGGAGCGAACGGG